AGAAUCAACGCUGGCGGCGUGCCUAACACAUGCAAGUCGAACGAGAAAGUGGGAGCAAUCCCACGAGUAAAGUGGCGCACGGGUGAGUAACACGUGACUAACCUACCCUUGAGUGGGGGAUAACCUAGGGAAACCUGGGCUAAUACCGCAUAAUACCUACGGGUCAAAGGAGCAAUUCGCUUUAGGAGGGGGUCGCGGCAGAUUAGUUAGUUGGCGGGGUAAUGGCCCACCAAGACAGUGAUCUGUAUCCGGCCUGAGAGGGCGCACGGACACACUGGAACUGAAACACGGUCCAGACUCCUACGGGAGGCAGCAGUGGGGAAUUUUGCGCAAUGGGGGAAACCCUGACGCAGCAACGCCGCGUGGAGGAUGAAGCCCCUUGGGGCGUAAACUCCUUUCGAUCGGAAGAUAAUGACGGUACCGGAAGAAGAAGCCCCGGCUAACUUCGUGCCAGCAGCCGC
rnacentral:rRNA from 1 species